GAGGACUCGAGCAGAGAGAGCUGCUUUUUCGUGAAACGGGAGUAAAGUAGUAAACCUACAGGAUCAUAUACAACUACCUACUUUUCAAUCGAUAUCUGCACCGCUGUCUCUUGGAUUGUAGCUGGAUCUGUUAACUGUGUUUGGAAAGGCUUCUAGCUUAAUCACGGAGUUCUCUUGUUUGUGGGCUCAUCUAAAGGAGUAACAGGAGCAGAAGAGUCUGGAACAGCAGAGAAACAAUUUCAGCCAUUUGGACUCAGCUCAGCCACUACAGAGGAAAAAAUGUCUUCAACACAAAAGGACCAACAUGGAGCAAGAAGUCAGCACUCUCAGGAGGCUGACAAACCUCACAGAAGAAAGGGAGAGAAAACGUACAGCUGUGAGUUGUGUGGAAAGU